rnacentral:lncRNA from 1 species
GAAAAAUAAAGUUUCCGAUGCCAAGAAACUGAAUGACAUAAAAAGAGACAUGGCCCAGCUAGAAUGGUAUAAGAAGAAAUCGGAAAUGGGUUACUACGAUUGCUUCAAAAACCAGGGGUCUAAAAGGGACCUCAACGUUGAACAGUUUAGGGGAAACCUCACAAUGUACUGGGAAGACAUGGUUGCACAAGUACAGAGGAAGCCCCAGGAGGAAGGAGCAACAUUUCGAACCCGUUGGUUCUAUGCAGGGACAGUUUAUAGGAGAAUGGUUGAACCACUGGACAUUGCUGCCUUCUAUAGAGAGGGUGGAACAGACUACAUAAACAAUGGAAGAUCUCUUCAUUACAAGCUGUUGCAGCAAUGGUAUGAAGAAGAUGUGAAACCCCCCUCUAGAGAUAAGCUUGAUUCCAAGAAGCAAAAGGUGUCUGGUAUCCUAACUGAGGAUUCUUUGUUUUGGGCACAUGUGGAGGAGGCCAUCUUGUCAUGCGAAUUGCUCAAGAGUAAAAACUGUACUCUUGAGCAGGGAAAAUCAUCAUGGGAUAAUCUAGUUAAGUUCGAGGAGUAUGUAAUGGAACAGAUUAACAACUAUGCAGCGUCCCCUGAGAUUUUCUUGCGGGAAAGCAGCUUCAUGAAAUGGUGGGGACUGUAUGAGGGCUACAUAGAUACUUGCAGUAAUUCCCAUGGGUCGCAAUUGAUCAACUUCAUGAAGAAACGUAGCUAUAUGAAGUAUGGUUAGAGGGGCAAUCCAGUUUGUGUGUUGUGUUUAUUGUUUUGUGAGCGUUCAAUGGAUAAAACUAGAAAGAGUGUGACCUUUUUCCCUUUUUCUUGGUUGCUGCCCAUAUUCUCAGCACUAUUUUCUUCCUUCUUUUCCUCUGUUUUUUUUGAUAGGAAAUGAAUAUUAUGAUGUUGCUGGGAUGCACUUNNNNNNNNNNNNNNNNNNNNNNNNNNNNNNNNNNNNNNNNNNNNNNNNNNNNNNNNNNNNNNNNNNNNNNNNNNNNNNNNNNNNNNNNNNNNNNNNNNNNAGGGGAAGAAAAACAUGUUUGUUUAGAUUCAACUCCACCAAAACUUGCAACAACUUCCCAUUGAAAAUUUCCUUUUAAGCUUCUGACUGACAUAAAACUAGAUAUGUUCCAGCUAGAACGGUACAAGAAAGAAAUCAAAAGAUGAGCACAAGUAGAGAGGAAGCCUCACCAGGAAGGGGCAGCUUUGCAAACCCUCUGGCUCUGUACAGGAACGAAUUAUAGAAAGAUGGUUGAACCACUUGACAUUGCUGCCUACCACAGAGAGGGUGGAAGACACUACAUAACCAAUGGAGGAUCUAAACAUUACACGCUAUUGGAGCAAUGAUGCAAUGAAGAGGAGAAGGGGGCUUUGUCUUCUCAUGCAAAUUGCUCUCAGAGCUCAGAACCUACUCCUGAAGGGAAAGAAUCAUCAUGGAGUGAUCUGGUUAAGUUUGAGGAUUUAUUUAUAUAAUUGAACUGAUUGGAAGCUAUGCAGUGUCGGCCCCCGCCCGAGCAGCUUCAUGAAACGGUGGAAAGAGUUGGAAGAAGUCAUAGAUACUUGCUAUAGGAGCUUCAUGAAGUAUGGAGAGGUGUGGCAUAGAUACUUGCAGUCUCUGAAUUUCCCAAAUCCAAUUUCAGAUUGUGUUUUUAGAUUCGUGGAACUUGUUUUCGGGCUUUUUGUUAGGUACAAUUGAGAUGGGCUGAACCGAAAGGCCCGCCAGGAUGAACAAUAUAAUGGGCCUGAAUUUUAAACCAGUGGAUGGGUUUUGUACUGGAUUCAGCUGUCUGAGCCCAAUGAGUAUUGAAUGUGUUUCUGUAUAAAAUUAAAUUUUUAACAUUGAAAUAUAAGGACUUACUUAAAAACACAUUUGGUAACUUUUUUUUUUUUUGGUUAAUAAUAAAUUUUUUUAAAAAAAAUUAAAAAUAUAUAAUUUUUUUAGAAUAAAUUUGAGGCAUGUUUAGGUAUUUUUUGUGGUAAAGAGUUUUGAGAAGCAAUGAGAAAUAUACAGAAUACUUUAAAAACUUUUGCAUAAGUAAGAUACUUACACGAGGCUUUUAUGAAAAAUAAAUCGAUAAAAACAAUUUUUAUAUUUGAAUUUCAAAACAUAAAACAACUUAGAACUGUUUUUAAAAACUGUUCUUAAAAAUAGUUUUCUAUUAACUCACAUUCAAGGAUGCUUUUAUCUUUUAUUUUUCUAUGUUUCAUCCUUGCAUAAAUGGAGUACAAAGUCGUAAGUUAAUCUAAUUAACAAAUAUAGAUAAUCAUCCGAUAAAUGAGUAAAUUAGGUGAUGAUCUCUUUAUAUAUGCAAGUAAUGGAAUGAAUGUGAUAAAAAAAUAAAAUAAAAAAGUAAGGGGAGAAAUGUUGUAAAUAAAAUGUUUUUAUUGUGGUUCAACGACCUAUCCACUUCCACACCUUGACAUAUUUCACAAUUUUAAAAGUUUUUUUAAUCAUGAUUCUCCUUAUUGUUCUUUAAGUCUGGAUUUCUUAAGUUUCAAUAGACUUUUACAAUCACUAAGAUGACGUUUGUUUUUUCACUUAAUUCUAAAUAUAAGUUAAAACUAAAUAAUAUUUAAUAAUAUCAAGUAUUAGGUUGUUUUUUUUAUAACAUUUUAUUUCUAUAUAAUAUUAAAAAGUAAAGAAAAAUCAGUAUGUUUUUUUUUUAUUUAAAAAAAGUCAAAUAUUUUGACUUUUUUUUAAGCUAAAAAUUUAUAAUAAAAAAUAAAAAAUAAACAAACAAACAAACAACUUGAAGUGUAAAAACAGAUUGUUUUCAAUAAAAAUUUUAAAAAAUAAACACCUUAUAAAUAAAAUUCCUUAACCACUCGUACAAUAGCUUCUUUAAGCACAAAAUGUAUUGAAGCGCUCACAAUGAAAAGAUAAACAAGUUUGGAUUUAAUAUAAUUUUGGGUUAUCUAAUUAAAAAGGUGUAGACCCCCGGAGGCAGACAGUUUUUUUAGUUAUUAUUAUUAUUUGUUUAUUUUUAAUUUUUCCUACCUUUUUCUUCCCAAGCCGCUCGACAUGAUGGGACUAAAGUGGGCUGGUUUUUGGGGCAGAGAGGGGACUCAAGUGGGCGUUUUUUUUUUUUUUUGGGCGGCAGAUGGGAUGGUGUACGGGGGAUGGCUUGUGGAGGAAGACUCAAAACAGGGGAAGGAAGCGAAAGAAAGGCAGGAAAAAAAGUGUUGGAGGACGGGGGGGAUACCUUGCUCAAGGAGAAAACUUUCAGGUAAAAUUUUCUGUGAACUCCAUGUUUCUUCGUUAUGACAUUAUUGUGCUCACUUCUUUUGUUGAUUCCAGGAUGUGAUUUGUUGGUCGGUUUGGAUGUCAUGGAUUAUUGGUUUAUUUUUGCUGAAUUUAUCCGUGUGCGGAGGUGCUCUGUUUGACUCUAUUCUGGUUUCCCUAACUCCUUCCAUAAGCACCUGAAUGUAUGAAUUCAUCCCUGAGCCCGAUUAUAUAAAAAUCAUGCUUUGUUCCCUGUGGUUUCUUCCCUCUGUUUGUUGCUCUAUUCCUUGUUGGUUGUGGGAAUGAGGUCAUCGAUGGCCAGGUUAUCGAAACUGGGGAAGUGACUUCGUGAACGGAUCACCUUCUAUGCACCCAUCUCAUCUUUCUCAUUCACUCAUCACGGCUACACUUCCAUGAUUACACCAUCCUCAGUCAAAUACAUAUCUCCAUACCCAUUUUUCACCUUUCCCGUACCUUCCUCACCUAUCCAUCACACCCAUCGUCAUAUCUAGUUCAUCACUAACCCAUUUUCCUCUCGCCAGCCGUGGUUAUGCUUCGUCCAUCUCAUGCAUACGAUCCCUCACUACUAUUCCUAUAUUCUCAUCCUUCCAAACUCCUCAACACAACACCUAACCCUCAUACCUGCACCCCGCCAUGCCCGCGCCUAGCUCACCCCCAUAGGAACCUCAAAGCCGUUCGCCUACUUGCAUGGGAGCCAUGCAUGCCGCCCCUCCCCGCGUCUUCCUGCACCGGCUAUGUGCGCGCCUGCACCAGCCACCAAUGGCGGCAGCGCCUUCUGGACGUCGCCAGGCCGCUGCCACCUGCUCCGGCAACGCGCGCGCCUGCACCAGCAGCCAUGGCGGCGGCACCUUCUGAACGUCACCAGACCGCCGCCACGGCUCCCCUCUUCCCCGCGCCGCCGCUGCUCCUCUUUUCCCCGCGCCGCCAUGGCUCUCCUCUUCAUCGUGCCGCCGGUGGAGUCUUCGCGGGUGGAGAGGCAAUUGGUGAAGAGAAGCUUUGCCCAUGAUGGUUUUUGGGCUUGGGUUUGAACUGGGAACCCAGGCCCAAGCCUAUGAAGAGAAGCCCAGGUUUAUGAAGGCUUUAAUUGCCUUGGGCUUGCCCAUUAAUAUCAUAUGGAUUGGGCUUGAUGAGGAUGGGGCUUAUUGGUGGAUUUGGGCUUGACUAGGUUUGGGCUUUAUUAGGGUUGCUGAUGGACUGGGUUUGGGCUCUAUUAUUAUUAUUAAUUCAACAUUUAAAAUACUAUUAUUAUCAUUGUUAUUAAUCAAACUUUUAAAAAUCUUAUUAUUACUAUUAUUAUUAUUACGUUUAUCAUUAUUAUUAUUUCUAUUCAACAUUUAAAAUAUUAUUAUCAUUAUUAUUAUUAAUUCAACAUUUAAAAUAUUAUUAUUAUCACUAUCAUUAAUCCAAACUUUCAAAACCCUAUAAUUAUUAUUACUAACCCAAAUUUCAAAAUCUAUUUAUUUAUUAUUAUUUAUUAUUAUCAUUAAUCCAAAUUUCAAAAUCUAUUUAUUAUUGUUAUCCUUAUCAUUAAACCCAACCUCCAAAAUCUCAUCAUUAUCAUUAUUAUUAAUUCAAACUUUCAACACCUAUUUAUUAUUAUUUAUUAUUAUCAUCAGUCCAAACCUCCAAGAUCUCAUCAUUAUUAUUAUAAUUAACUCAACUUUCAAAAUUUAUUUAUUAUUAUUAUCAUCAUUAAUCCAAGCUUUCAAAAAUCUCAUCAUUAUUGUUAUUAUUACCUCAACUUUCAAAAUCUUAUUUUUAUUAUUAUCAUUGAUUAAAACUUUCAAAACCUUAUUAUUAUUAUUAAUUCAAACUUUCUAACUUCCAAUUUCCAAGCCCAAUUUAUAAAAAUUCAACCUUCAAAUGAUACUCCAAAAUUCCGAUCUUUAAAACUCAAUUUCGAUUUCCGAAAAUUCUCAUACUCACUUUAAUCUAUUUAAUUAUUGUUAUUUUGAUUAUUUAUUUCAAAACCCCAUUUCAAAUCAAAUUCUCUAAAACUUCUGAUUCUCGAAUUAAAUUCCUAAUCCCAAAAAUUCUCAUGUUCGCACUAAAUUAUUUGAUCAUUGAUAUUUUAUUUAUUUAUUUAUUUCAAAACUCCAUUUUAAAUCAAAUUCUCUAAAACUUCUGAUUUCCGAAUUAAACUCCUAAUCCCAAAAAUUCUCAUGUUCUCAUUAAUUUAUUUAAUCAUUAGUAUUUUAUCUCCAUUUUAAAUCAACUCUUUAAAACUUCAGAUUUACAAAUUAAAUUCCUAAUCUUGAAAAUUCCCAUAUUCACAUUAAUUUAAUCACUAAUAGUUUGUUUAUUUAUCUUAAAAUUCUAUUUUAAACAAUUCUUUAAACUUUCUAACUUCUAAAUCUAAUUUCCAAUUUCAAAAAUUCCAGCAUUCCAUUCAUUUAUUUAAUCAUUAUUUUCGUCCUUAUUAUUAUUAGUCCAUUUAUUUACUUCAAAAUUUCAUUUUUAAACAUUUUUUUGAAUCCCAAUUUUCGAACUUAAUUUCCAAUUUCUAAAAUUCUAAUUUCCUUCAAGUUUGACAUCCCAAAAUUCCAACUCUUAAAUUUAAUUCUCAAGACUCCAAUCUUCAAAUAAUUUUCGAGACUCCAAUUUCCAAAUAAAUUUCAAAAAUUCAAUUUUCUCUCUAACAGUUUUAAUUCUCUUCGGGUUUCAAAUAAUCUUCGAUUUCUCUUGAUUUUAUAUAAACAUGAAUGCUAUUUUCAUAAUUCCAGAAUAAUGGGAUUUGUGAUAUUAAUUCCUGCAAAAAUGAAUGGGCUUUGGUGGGGGCCCAACAUACGUGCUUUCCUCAUGAUUGAUUGAUUGUUUGAUUGAUUUAAUUGCCAUGCGUGCUUGAUUUUAUUCUGCUCUAUGGCAUGCCCGAAAUUAUCCUUUAAUUGUGCACUAACCUCACUUUUUGAUAAGCGCAUUGUGGCUCGUCACCCAGGUACGUAUCUAUCCCCAUUCUGAUAUUUCCAUAUACAUGUUUUGAUUCUCCUAUGUGCAUGAUAGUUCCGGGUAUUCAUUGUUUUUCCUCAUCAAUUGCCAUGAUUGCUUCAUUUUAUUAGUAGAGACCCAUUUAGGGACUUAGAGGGGUGCUACGGUUCAUACCGUACCUUCCUGAUAAGUAACCUGACCCUCGGACCCGAUCCGGUUUUUCACAGACCACCUUUUCCAAAGUAAGGAGUCACACUUAGGGUUUUUCUUUCUUAUUUUGUUUACCCUUUUAAAAAUAAAACAAAAAUAAGUGGCGACUCCAAGUCAUUUUCUUAAACAAUAAAAAAUCAAAUUUUCAAAUAAAAAUCGAGUCCGCCAUUGAGUGGGAAACGCAUGAGCCGAAAUGCGGGGUCCACAAAAGGUCAUUGAAAACCCAAUUUUAGAAAUAUAACCCUUCAUCAUUUUUUUUAUCUCAUGUUAACAAAAAUGCUCUUAUUAUUUUCUUAUAAAAAUAAUCAUUUCUUUUAAAACACACUAUAAAUACUCCAAAUAGUCAGGGGCUUUUAUGUAUAAAAAAAUGAAUUACUCUUUAAAUAAAAAUAUUGGAGGGAAUAAAUUAACAAAUAUGAGGUAUUUCAUCCCUUUUAUCUAAUUAUUUCUAUAAUUUUAAGAGUUUAAGAAGGCUAGACAAAGACUAAUUAUUAGGCACAUUUUGUAAAAACACUAGUUAUUAGACACAUUUUUCGCUCAAUCAAUCAAUCACGGAGUUGACUAGACACUAAUUAUUGGACUUUUUUUUUUUUUUUUUUAUAAUAAGUGAAAGACAAGAAUACAAUCGACUACUUUGGUCAAUUAAACAAUCAUUCAGUUGACUAUAAACUAAUCUUUAGAUUUUUUUUUUUAUAAUAAUUGGAAGACAUGAAUACAAUCGAUUACUUUGAUUAAUUAAUCAAUUAUUCAAGAAAUUUAGAAAAAUAUUGGAUAAAAGAUAUAUAUAACGGAUUAUUUCAAAUUGAAACUUAAGAUUAUAAAUCUUACUUUUAAUGUUGAAAAAUCAUGUAAAACACAAGUUUUUAUCUUUGAAGUAAUCAAUUUCAUUUUUCACAAAAAAUCAUUAAUAAUGCAUGAAUGAAUUCUUUUAAAAAAUCUUAUAAAAAAUGUGAUUAUUUUUCAUUCCCAAAUACUUAGGUUCUAAAGAUCAAUUUUAAAGCAUACUUAUCCUUACUAUGCCUUACAAGAAAAUCUAUUCUAUACAUAUGAUCUUGUAAAAAAAUGUAAAUAAAAAAAUAAAAUAAAAUAAAAAGAAAAAAAAAAGCCUCUCUUGUUUUCCUCUUUUGACUGGAUAUCAUUACCAUACCUAAAAUUAAAUAUUUAAUUAAAAUAUUAUUUUACUAUCAUCAAAAUUUAGAUUUAACCAAACUUUAGGCUAGUAUGUUGAUACGAUAAGUUAAUUUUCUAUCUUAAAGUUUUAAAAACUUUUGAAAUUAAACAUUUUCUUACACAUUUAUUUUUAAAGUUUUUUAGCAUAAAAUUUAAAAUUGAAGCUUUUAAGGGAAAACCUCAUAAUAUAAUAUACUAGAAAGACAUGGUCAAACAAAUAGAGACGAAGCCUCAAAAGGAAGGGGCAAUGGUUGAACCACUUGACAUUGUUGCCUACUACUAAGAUGGUGUAAGAAACAACAUAACCAAUGGAACAUAUGCACAUUAAACAUUGUACAAUUAUUAUAAAUGUCUUAUACAUUAUGUGUGAAAAUACGAAAUAAAUAAAUAAAAUUAUAUUCAACAUUUAUAUUUGUAUACAAACAAUAUUUUCGAUAGUUUGAUAUAAAAAAACAAAUAAAAAAAUGAAGAAAAGCAUAUAAAUAUAUUUUCAAUGGACAAACUUAUUCAAUUAGUAUAAAUAUCUUGUAUAUUUAAUACAAAUACCUUAUACUUUGUGAAAAUGUAAAAAUAUAGUAUUUGAUAUUUAUAAAUGUGGGUAAGUAAUUUUUCUAAUGGUUUGAUUUAAAAAAAAAAUAAUGAGAAUCAAGAAAUACAUGCAAAUAAAUUAGUGUGAAUGAUAAAGGAUGUUUUUUUACCAUAAAUUUUCAUGGACUUAGCAUCAAUUAUGCAUCUAUAGAUGUUAACCCAAUUAGCAUAAUGUGAAAACCCUUACACACAAUAUAUAAACCCUAUACUUGAAUUAGGAAGGACAAAAAAAAAAUAGUUAGAGCAUUUGGUACCAUCAAUGAUGACUUCACCUAAAGAAAAGUUAAUGAACAUUAUGUUCUCAAUGGAAGAGCAACCCUAGUAGGACAUAUGGAGUAAAUUGAUGCUCUUCUUUCGACAACGAAGUAGCUAAGUCAUGAAAAUGGGGUUUUGCUAACAACAUUAAAUGCAAGAAUUCCCCAAUAUACUGCAAUUCAUAUUCAAUUCAUAGACUUUCAACUAACUACUCUCAAUAACGAGCAAACCCAAGUCAAUACAUAAGAUUGAUUAUUACUUAUGAUAAUUGAAACCAUAAUUAAUAAGACAUAUAUAUAUAUAUAUAUAUAUAUAUAUAUAUAUAUAUAUAUAUAUAUAUAUAUAUAUAUAUAUAUAUAUAUAUAUAUAUAUAUAAAAAAAAUAGAGACAAUUGUGUUUUGGAUCCAGGUGGAUCAAAAAAUAAGGUUUGGUUUAUAGAACUUACAUAAUUGAUGGAAAUGAUAUAAGUUAUCAAAAGACCAAAAUACUCAUUGACCUUUCACGUAAGUUUUUUUGGUCUUUAUUGUACCACUAUUCAUGCAACCAUAAUAAUUUUAUUUUAACUAUUUGGAUUUUUCAUUGUUUUUUAAAACUUUUUUUUUUAUAAAUAAUUGAAAAUCAACAUUAUUUUCUAUUUUAAAUUAUAAAUAAAGAAAAAUUACGUUCAAAAACUAUUUUAAAAAAUACUUUCUAAAAAAAUGGUAAUAUGAUUUAUAUUUUUUACAUUUUCUAUUAGAAAAAAAUAUUUAAUUAAAAAUGAAAAAUAAUUUUUAAAAAUAAAAAUUGAAAACCUUGUUUAGUACUAUUUUUUUAUAUGAAAAUAAUAAAAAUAAUUAAAUUUCAUUAAUUGAUUAUCCAUUAAAUUUUAUAUGAAAAUUUUUUAUAAGAGUAAAAAGAUUCAAUAUCUUUAAAAAAAGAAAAAAAAAACAAAACAAAACAAUAAGUUAGAAAUGAGUAAUACUUAAUUGGGAAUAGAAAAGGGGAAAAAAUUGAAAUUUACACUCAUUAUAUGCCUAUGUAGGGAUUAAAGGUAUUUUAGGGAUUAAUGAAGGAUAAUAUCCUUUAACUUAAUUUUUAUAAUUUAUUUGGGUCUUGACCUUAAAUGUGCAUGAUAUAUGGAUCUUUGGUCAAUUUUUGGGCCCAUUCGGGCCCAAAAUACAAUUCUCCCUACAAAAAUAUUUAUUAAAAUAAAUUAAUUAAUAAAAGCCAUUUAAAGAGUUUCAUAACUUAGUAUCGAAGCUAUUGUAAGAAAAAAGUAUUAUAUAAUGUAGGGUUUAGGUUCAAAGUCUACCUAAGAUUAAAUUUAAGUCUCGAGACAAAUUCACAUUCAAAACUAGGUUUUUAAGUUUGAAAAAUAGAUCCCUUAAACAAAUUAAAUGGUAAAAAAUAAUUACAAAGAAAAUUUCUCUAGCUGGUUUCUUCAUCUUGAAAACUAACGGAAACAUAUAUUAAUAUUUGGUAUGAAAAUUCGUAACCUUAGAAACACAGCUUUGAGUCUUGCUGAGAAAAACAAAGCUUAUUUGCUCGUAGACCAUCGUAGUGGUCGUCAUACCGUGUGAGGACCGGGGAAGCAUCUUUGCUCGUAGACCGGCUUUUGUAGUCUUUCUUUAACAAUUACAAGUUGUCAGGAUUCCCUUCAUCCUCCCAAAUAAUAUUGUUUUUGGUCUUGUUCUGGUUGCAUCUCCGUGGAAGGAAAGAAGAUGAAUCAAGUUCCUUUGUAAGUAUCAAUGUCUCUGAUUCAUUUUUUGGUUCCUAGAAUCGAAUCCUCGCUCUGUUCUUGCUUAAUUUCUCCUUUUUCUGUUGGGUCUUUCACUGCAGGUUUAGCUCUGCACGGGAACUGGCAAAUUUGGUGCUGAGCUCCAAUCUAAUCGACUGUGCUUUCACCAAAAUUCUUGAACUUAAGAGAGGCCAAACAGCCUUGCCUGUUCAAUACAGACUUUAUCAACUGUCUUCCAAGUGCACAAUUGUAGCUUUUGUCUCUUCACCUGACUGCACUCAAUACCCUCUUCCUGGACAAGGAGAUUUAGAUCGGUCUCCUCUCUUUGACUUCCUCCGUACCGAAGAAUACCCGUCCGUCUCCAUUAACAGAGCAGCAUUAGCCCUCUAUACCCCUCUCCAUGAUCAUCUCUCUGGACUAACAGAUGAGGUCAAAAUCUGAUACUUGUUUGAAUUUUCGUUUCCUUUUCGUUAACAAUUGUGAGACACGAAACAGCUUGACCAUGAGAUCUCCCUCAUGGAGUCGAACUACCUGAAGGAUAAGACGUCACACAUAUCCAUUUUCAUGGCAUCGUCACAUGACCCAUUGAUCGGUUGUGAUUCAACUCUUAAUAGGAACACAGUAGAACUGGUGUUGGUAUAUCUGUCUUUAGAUAAGCUUGCAUAUAUCUUGUCACUGAAAAAGGAAUGUUCAGAAGUGAGAUUAGUGGCAUUAUUCUGACAUGGAUUUCAUAUGGUUACUUGUUUUGCAGUUGACUCAGAUUGAAGGUCAGUUAAUCAUCACUGGGCACUCCCUGGGAGGAUCCGUUGCUUCUCUCUUCACCUUACGCCUGCUAGAUGGCAAUUUAUUAAAACCCAAAUGCCGCCCCUUUUGUAUCACCUUUGGUUCACCCCUCAUAGGCGACUUUGGCCUCCAACACUCCAUAUGGAAUUCUUUCUUCCUGCAUGUAGUGUCUAACCAAGACCCAGUCCCCGGACUCUUCCUCCCAUCCGGCAGAUCUCCGCCCACAUCCUCCCAUUCACAAACUACCGGUUACAAGCCCUUUGGGACAUAUCUCUUGUGCUCUGAACUUGGUUGUGCUUGUUUUGACAACCCUGAUUUAAUUUUGGGAUUGCUUAAAGUCAUAUCAUCAGAGGUUGCCGGAGGAUUGCAGGAUGUUGACUAUGGGGAGAUUUUAAGAAACCUCAAGGAGAGGGCAAUCUGCAAGGGACUGCCGCAGGUGGGUGAACGGUUUGCAGAUCCAUUUUCAGCUGGGAUCAUCAUGGAACUUGAGACAAUUGGAUUUAAUCAAACAAAGGUAAACAGCUUUCUCCCAUCUAAUGAUGUUAUGAAACAUGGUUUACACUACACCAAAUACUGCAAUAACUGCCCUAUUCAGAUUUAUCUUCUUGUUCUUUGGGAUCUUCCAUAACUAGUCUCAUUUUUAAAAUUCAUGGCAGUUGCUGCAGCAUAACAUUGAUAUCAACGCUAUGAUAAGAACAAUGGAAGCGGAAACCAGAAGCCUAAUCCAGAAAAAUAAAGCUUCCGAUGCCAAGAAACUGAAUGACAUAAAAAGAGACAUGGCCCAUCUAGAAUGGUAUAAGAAGAAAUCGGAAAUGGGUUACUACGAUUGCUUCAAAAAUCAGGGGUCUAAAAGGGACAUCAACGUUGAACAAUUUAGGGGAAACCUCACAAUGUACUGGGAAGACAUGGUUGCACAAGUACAGAGGAAGCCCCAGAAGGAAGGAGCAACAUUUCGAACCCGUUGGUUCUAUGCAGGGACAGUUUAUAGGAGAAUGGUUGAACCACUGGACAUUGCUGCCUUCUACAGAGAGGGUGGAACAGACUACAUAAACAAUGGAAGAUCUCUUCAUUACAAGCUGUUGCAGCAAUGGUAUGAAGAAGAUGUGAAACCCCCCUCUAGAGAUAAGCUUGAUUCCAAGAAGCAAAAGGUGUCUGGUAUCCUAACUGAGGAUUCUUUGUUUUGGGCACAUGUGGAGGAGGCCAUCUUGUCAUGCGAAUUGCUCAAGAGUCAAAACUGUACUCUUGAGCAGGGAAAAUCAUCAUGGGAUAAUCUGGUUAAGUUCGAGGAGUAUGUAAUGGAACAUAUUAACAACUAUGCAGCGUCCCCUGAGAUUUUCUCGAGGGAAAGCAGCUUCAUGAAAUGGUGGGGACUGUAUGAGGGCUACAUAGAUACUUGCAGUAAUUCCCAUGGGUCGCCAUUGAUCAACUUCAUGAAGAAACGUAGCUAUAUGAAGUAUGGUUAGAGGGGCAAUCCAGUUUGUGUGUUGUGUUUGUUGUUUUGUGAGCGUUCAAUGGAUAAAACUAGAAAGAGUGACCUUUUUCCCUUUUUCUUGGUUGCUGCCCAUAUUCUCAGCACUAUUUUCUUCCUUCUUUUCCUCUGUUUUUUUGUUAAGAAAUGAAUAUUAUGAUGUUGCUGGGAUGCACUUUCAUUGUUGUUCUAUUACAUUGUGUUUUAUUUAUAUCCUAAACAAAUAAAUCAAAACAAGAAAAUCAAAUAAGACUUAAAGAGUCUUUUCCUUCAAAAAAAAAAAUGGGGAAAAAGAAAAACAUUUUUGUUUAGAUUCAACUCCACCAAAACUUGCAACAACUUCCCAUUGAAAAAUUCCUUUUAAGCUUCUGAAUGAUAUAAAACCAGAUAUGUUCCAGCUAGAAUGGUACAAGAAAGAAAUCAAAAGAUGAGUACAGUGGGUUAUUAUGACAGCUUUAGAAACCUGGGGUGUAAAAGAGACAUUAAAAUGGAACCGAUGGGAAGACAUGGUAGAACACGUAGAGAGGAAGCCUCACCAGGAAGGGGCAGCUUUGCAAACCCUCUGGCUCUGUACAGGAACGAAUUAUAGAAAGAUGGUUGAACCACUUGACAUUGUUCCCUACCACAGAGAGGGUGGAAGACACUACAUAACAUUACACGCUAUUGGAGCAAUGAUGCAAUGAAGAGGAGAAGGGGGCUUUGUCUUCUCAUGCAAAUUGCUCUCAGAGCUCAGAACCUACUCCUGAAGGGAAAGAAUCAUCAUUGAGUGAUCUGGUUAAGUUUGAGGAUUUAUUUAUAUAAUUGAACUGAUUGGAAGCUAUGCAGUGUCGGCCCCCGCCCGAGCAGCUUCAUGAAACGGUGGAAAGAGUUGGAAGAAGUCAUAGAUACUUGCUAUAGGAGCUUCAUGAAGUAUGGAGAGGUGUGGCAUAGAUACUUGCAGUCUCUGAAUUUCCCAAAUCCAAUUUCAGAUUGUGUAUUUAGAUUCGUGGAACUUGUUUUCUUGCUUUUUGUUAGGUACAAUUGAGAUGGGCUGAACCGAAAGGCCCGCCAGGAUGAACAAUAUAAUGGGCCUGAAUUUUAAACCAGCGGAUGGGCUUUGUACUGGAUUCAGCUGUCUGAGCCCAAUGAGUAUUGAAUGUAUUUCUGUAUAAAAUUAAAUUUUUAACAUUGAAAUAUAAGGACUUACUUAAAAACACAUUUGGUAACUUUUUUUUUUUUAUGGUUAAUAAUAGAUUUAAAAAAAAAUUAAAAAUAUAUAAUUUUUUAGGAUAAAUUUGAGGCAUGUUUAGGUAUUUUUCGUGGUAAAGAGUUUUGAGAAGCAAUGGGAAAUAUACAGAAUACUUUAAAAACUUUUGCAUAAGUAAGAUACUUACACGAGGCUUUCAUGAAAAAUAAAUUGAUAAAAACAAUUCUCAUAUUUAAAUUUCGAAACAUAAAACAACUCAGAACUGUUUUUAAAAAUUGUUCUUAAAAAUAGUUUUCUAUUAAGUCACAUUCAAGGAUGCUUUUAUCUUUUAUUUUUCUAUGUUUCAUCCUUGCAUAAAUGGAGUACAAAGACAUAAGUUAAUCUAAUUAACAAAUAUAGAUAAUCAUCCGAUAAAAGAGUAAAUUAGGUGAUGAUCUCUUUAUAUAUGCAAGUAAUGGAAUGAAUGUGAUGAAAAAUAAAAUAAAAAAGUAAGGGGAGAAAUGUUGUAAAUAAAGUGUUUUUAUUGUAGUUCAACGACCUAUCCACUUCCGCACCUUGACAUAUUUCACAAUUUUAAAAGUUUUCUUAAUCAUGAUUCUCUUUAUUAUUCUUUAAGUCCGGAUUUCUUAUGUUUCAAUAGACUUUUACAAUCACUAAGAUAGUGUUUGUUUUUUCACUUAAUUCUAAAUAUAACUUAAAACUAAAUAAUAUUUAAUAAUAUCAGGAUUAGGUUGUUUUUUUUAUAACAUUUUAUUUCUAUAUAAUAUUAAAAAGUAAAGAAAAAUCAAUAUAUUAUUUUUUUCAUUUAAAAAAAGUCAAAUAUUUUGACUUUUUUUUAAGCUAAAAAUUUAUAAUAAAAAAUAAAAAACAAACAAACAAACAAACAACUUAAAGUGUAAAAAUAGAUUGUUUUCAAUAAAAAUUUAAAAAAAAACAAACACCUUCUAAAUAAAAUUCCUUAACCACUCGUUCAAUAGCUCCUUUAAGCACAAAAUGUAUUGAAGUGCUCACAAUGAAAAGAUAAACAAGUUUUGAUUCAAUAUAAUUUUGGGUUAUCUAAUUAAAAGGGUCAUUGAAAACCCAAUUUUAGAAAUAUAACCCUUCAUCAUUUUUUUAUCUCGUGUUAACAAAAAUGCUCUUAUUAUUUUCUUAUAAAAAUAAUCAUUUCUUUUAAAACACACUAUAAAUACUCCAAAUAGCCAAGGGCUUUUAUGUAAAAAAAAAUGAAUUACUCUUCAAAUAAAAAUAUUGGAGGGAAUAAAUUCACAAAUAUGAGGUAUUUCAUCCCUUUUAAAUAAUUAUUUCUAUAAUUUUAAGAGUUUAAGAAGGCUAGACAAAGACUAAUUAUUAGGCACAUUUUGUAAAAACACUAGUUAUUAGACACAUUUUUUGCUCAAUCAAGCAAUCACACAGUUGACUAAACACUAAUUAUUGGACUUUUUUUUUUUAUAAUAAGUGGAAGACAAGAAUACAAUCGACUACUUUGGUCAAUUAAGCAAUCAUUCAGUUGACUAUAAACUAGUCUUUAGACAUUUUUUUUUAUAAUAAUUGGAAGACAUGAAUACAAUCGAUUACUUUGGUCAAUUAAUCAAUUAUUCAAGAAAUUUAGAAAAAUAUUGGAUAAAAGAUAUAUAUAACGGAUUAUUUCAAAUUGAAACUUAAGAUCAUAAAUCUUACUUUUAAUGUUGAAAAAUCAUGUAAAACACAAGUUUUUAUCUUUGAAGUAAUCAAUUUCAUUUUUCACAAAAAAUCAUUAAUAAUACAUGAAUGAAUUCUUUUAAAAAAAUCUUAUAAAAAAUGUGAUUAUUUUUCAUUCCCAAAUAUUUAGGUUCUAAAGGUCAAUUUUAAAGCAUACUUAUCCUUACUAUGCCUUACAAGAAAAUCUAUUCUAUACAUAUGAUCUUGUAAAAAACUGUAAAUAAAAAAGAAAAAAAGAAAAAAAACCUCUCUUGUUUUCCUCUUUUGAUUGGAUAUCAUUAUCAUACUUAAAAUUAAAUAUUUAAUCAAAAUAUUAUUUUACUAUCAUCAAAAUUUAGAUUUAACCAAACUUUAGGCUAGUAUGUUGAUACGACAAGUUAAUUUUCUAUCUUAAAGUUUUAAAAACUUUUGAAAUUAAACAUUUUCUUACACAUUUAUUUUUAAAGUUUUUAGCAUAAAAUUUAAAAUUGAAGCUUUUAAAGGAAAACCUCAUAAUAUAAUAUACUAGAAAGACAUGGUCAAACAAAUAGAGACGAAGCCUCAAAAGGAAGGGGCAAUGGUUGAACCACUUGACAUUGUUGCCUACUACUAAGAUGGUGUAAGAAACAACAUAACCAAUGGAACAUAUGCACAUUAAACAUUGUACAAUUAUUAUAAAUGUCUUAUACAUUAUGUGUGAAAAUACCAAAAAAAAAGAAAAAUUAUAUUCAACAUUUACAUUUGUAUACAAACAAUGUUUUCGACAAUUUGAUAUAAAAAACAAAUAAAAAAAAUAAAGAAAAACAUACAAAUAUAUUUACAAUGGACAAACUUAUUCAAUUAGUAUAAAUAUCUUGUAUAUUUAAUACAAAUACCUUAUACUUUGUGAAAAUGUAAAAAUAUAGUAUUUAAUAUUUAUACAUGUGGGUAAGUAAUUUUUCUAAUGGUUUGAUUUAAAAAACAAAUAAUGAGAAUCAAGAAAAACAUGCAAAUAAAUUAGUGUGAAUGAUAAAGGGUGUUUUUUACCAUAAAUUUUCAUGGACUUAGCAUCAAUUAUGCAUCUAUAGAUGUUAACCCAAUUAGCAUAAUGUGAAAACCCUUGCACACAAUAUAUAAACCCUAUACUUGAAUUAGGAAGGACAAAAAAAAAAUAGUUAGAGCAAUUGGUACCAUCAAUGAUGACUUCACCUAAAGAAAGGUUAAUGAACAUUAUGUUCUCAACGGAGAGCAACUCUGGUAGAACAUAUGGAGUAAAUCAAUGCCCUUCUUUUAACGAUGAAGUAGCUAAGUCAUGAAAACAAGGUUUUGCUAACAACAUUAAAGGCAAGAAUUCCCCCAAUAUACUCCAAUUCAUAUUCAAUUCACAGACCUUCAACUAACUACUCUCAGUAACGAGCAAACCCAAGUCAAUACAUAAGAUUGAUUAUUACUUAUGAUAAUUGAAACCCUAAUUAAAUAAAUAAGGACACAAAUAUAUAUAUAUAUAUAUAGGGACAGUUGUGUUUUGGACCUAGGUGAACCCAAAAAUUAAGGUUUGGUUUAUAUAACUUACAUAAUUGAUGAAAAUGAUAUAAGAUAUCAAAAUAUCAAAAUACUCAUUGACCUUUCACAUAAGCUUUUUUGGUAUUUAUUGCACUACUAUUCAUUCAACCAUAAUAAUUCUAUUUUAACUAUUUGGAUUUUUCAUUGUUUUUUAAAACUUUUUAUUUAUAAAUAAUUGAAAAUCAACAUUAUUUUCUAUUUUAAAUUAUAAAUAAAGAAAAAUUACGUUCGAAAACUAUUUUAAAAAAUACUUUCUAAAAAAAAUGGUAAUAUGAUUUAUAUUUUUUAUAUUUUCUUUUAGAAAAAAAUAUUUAAUUAAAAAAUGAAAAAUAUUUUUAAAAAUAAAAAUUGGAAACCUUGUUUAGUACUAUUUUUUUUAUAUAAAAAUAAUAAAAAUAAUUAAAUUUCAUUUAUUGAUUAUCCAUUAAAUUUUAUAUGAAAAUUUUGUAUAAGAGUAAAAAGAUUCAAUAUCUUUAAAAAAAGAAAAAAAAAACAAAACAAAAAGUUAGAAAUGAGUAAUACUUAAUUGGGAAUAGAAAAUGGGAAAAAUUUUGAAAUUUACACUCACUAUAUGUCUACGUAGGGAUUAAGGGUAUUUUAGGGAUUAAUGAAGGAUAAUAUCUUUUAACUUAAUUUUUACAUUUUAUUUGGGUCUUGGGAUUAAAUGUACAUUAUAUAUGGAUCUUUGGUUAAUUUUUGGACCCAUCCGGACCCAAAACACAAUUCUCCAUAAAAAAAUAUUUAUUAAAAUAAAUAAAUUAAUAAAAACCAUUUAGAGAGUUUCAUAACUUAGGUGGUGUUUGUUUUUUUGGCUUUUUGGUGAAAACCAUUUAGUUUUAGAAUUUAGGUUGUUUGUUUUUUUACUUUUUCAUGACUUAUUAUAAACUUUUUACAAAAUAGAAAAAGCCAAAAUAUAUGACUUUUUCUAAAUAGAAAAAUAACACAAUGGUUUUUUUUACUUUUUAAUACUUAAUAGAAAUAAAAUAUUAUAAAAACAAACAACCUAAUAUUUAAUACUAUUAAGUAUUAAAGUUCUAUUUAGAAUUAAGUAAAAAAACAAACACCACCUAAGUGUCGAAGCUAUUGUAAGAAAAAAGUAUUAUAUAAUGUAGGGUUUAGGUUCAAAGUCUACCUAAGAUUAAAUUUAAGUCUUAAGACAAAUUCACAUUCAAAACUAGGUUUUUAAGUUAGAAAAAUAGACCCCUUAAACCAAUUAAAUGGUAAAAAAAAAUUACAAAGAAAAUUUCUCUAGCUGGUUUCUUCAUCUUGAAAACUAACGGAAACAUAUAUCAAUAUUUGGUAUGAAAAUUCGUAACCUUAGAAACACAGCUUUGAGUCUUGCUGAGAAAAACAAAGCUUAUUUGCUCGUAGACCAUCGUAGUGGUCGUCAUACCGUGUGAGGACCGGGGAAGCAUCUUUGCUCGUAGACCGGCUUUUGUAGUCUUUCUUUAACAAUUGCAAGUUGUCAGGAUUCCCUUCAUCCUCCUAUAUAAUAUUGUUUUUGGUCUUGUUCUGGUUGUAUCUCCGUGGAAGGAAGGAAGAUGAAUCAAGUUCCUUUGUAUGUAUCAAUGUCUCUGAUUCAUUUUUUGGUUCCUAGAAUCGAAUCCUCGCUCUGUUCUUGCUUAAUUUCUCCUUUUUCUGUUGGGUCUUUCACUGCAGGUUUAGCUCUGCACGGGAACUGGCAAAUUUGGUGCUGGCCUCCAAUCUAAUCGACUGUGCUUUCACCAAAAUUCUUGAACUUAAGAGAGGCCAAACAGCCUUGCCUGUUCAAUACAGACUUUAUCAACUGUCUUCCAAGUGCACAAUUGUAGCUUUUGUCUCUUCACCUGACUGCACUCAAUACCCUCUUCCUGGACAAGGAGAUUUAGAUCGGUCUCCUCUCUUUGACUUCCUCCGUACCGAAGAAUACCCGUCCGUCUCCAUUAACAGAGCAGCAUUAGACCUCUUUACCCCUCUCCAUGAUCAUCUCUCUGGACUAACAGAUGAGGUCAAAAUCUGAUACUUGUUUGAAUUUUCGUUUCCUUUUCGUUAACAAUUGUGAGACACGAAACAGCUUGACCAUGAGAUCUCCCUCAUGGAGUCGAACUACCUGAAGGAUAAGACGUCACACAUAUCCAUUUUCAUGGCAUCGUCACAUGACCCAUUGAUCGGUUGUGAUUCAACUCUUAAUAGGAAUACAGUAGAACCGGUGUUGGUAUCUGUCUUUAGAUCAGCUUGCAUAUAUCUUGUCACUGAAAAAGGAAUGUUCAGAAGUGAGAUUAGUGGCAUUAUUCUGACAUGGAUUUCAUAUGGUUACUUGUUUUGCAGUUGACUCGGAUUGAAGGUCAAUUAAUCAUCACUGGGCACUCCCUGGGAGGAUCCGUUGCUUCUCUCUUCACCUUACGCCUGCUAGACGGCAAUUUAUUAAAGCCCAAAUGCCAUCCCUUUUGUAUCACCUUUGGUUCACCCCUCAUAGGCGACUUUGGCCUCCAAGACUCCAAAUGGAAUUCUUUCUUCCUGCAUGUAGUGUCUAACCAAGACCCAGUCCCCGGACUCUUCCUCCCAUCCGGCAGAUCUCCGCCCACAUCCUCCCAUUCACAAACUACCGGUUACAAGCCCUUUGGGACAUAUCUCUUGUGCUCUGAACUUGGUUGUGCUUGUUUUGACAACCCUGAUUUAAUUUUGAGAUUGCUGAAAGUCAUAUCAUCAGAGGUUGCCGGAGGAUUGCAGGAUGUUGAUUAUGGGGAGAUUUUAAGAAACCUCAAGGAGAGGGCAAUCUGCAAGGGACUGCCGCAGGUGGGUGAACGGUUUGCAGAUCCAUUUUCAGCUGGGAUCAUCAUGGAACUUGAGACAAUUGGAUUUAAUCAAACAAAGGUAAACAGCUUUCUCCCAUCUAAUGAUGUUAUGAAACAUGGUUUACACUUCACCAUAUACUGCAAUAACUGCCCUAUUCAGAUUUAUCUUCUUGUUCUUUGGGAUCUUCCAUAACUCGUCUCAUUUUUAAAAUUCAUGCCAGCUGCUGCAGCAUAACAUUGAUAUCGACGCUAUGAUAAGAACAAUGGAAGAGGAAACCAGAAGCCUAAUCCAGAAAAAUAAAGCUUCCGAUGCCAAGAAACUGAAUGACAUAAAAAGAGACAUGGCCCAUCUAGAAUGGUAUAAGAAGAAAUCGGAAAUGGGUUACUACGAUUGCUUCAAAAACCAGGGGUCUAAAAGGGACAUCCACGUUGAACAGUUUAGGGUAAACCUCACAAAAUACUGGAAAGACAUGGUUGCACAAGUACAGAGGAAGCCCCAGAAGGAAGGAGCAACAUUUCGAACCCGUUGGCUCUAUGCAGGGACAGUUUAUAGGAGAAUGGUUGAACCACUGGACAUUGCUGCCUUCUACGGAGAGGGUAAAACAGACUACAUAAACAAGAAAAGAUCUCUUCAUUACCAGCUGUUGCAGCAAUGGUAUGAGGAAGAUGUGAAACCCCCCUCUAGAGAUAAGCUUGAUUCCAAGAAGCAAAAGGUGUCUGGUAUCCUAACUGAGGAUUCUUUGUUUUGGGCAUAUGUGGAGGAGGCCAUCUUGUCAUGCGAAUUGCUCAAGAGUCAAAACUGUACUCUUGAGCAGGGAAAAUCAUCAUGGGAUAAUCUGGUUAAGUUCGAGGAGUAUGUAAUGGAACAGAUUAACAACUAUGCAGCGUCCCCUGAGAUUUUCUCGAGGGAAAGCAGCUUCAUGAAAUGGUGGGGACUGUAUGAGGGCUACAUAGAUACUUGCAGUAAUUCCCAUGGGUCGCCAUUGAUCAACUUCAUGAAGGAUCGUAGGUAUAUACAGUAUGGACGUUAGAGGGGCAAUCCAGUUUGUGUGUUGUGUUUGUUGUUUUGUGAGCGUUCAAUGGAUAAAACUAGAAAGAGUGUGACCUUUUUCCCUUUUUCUUGGUUGCUGCCCAUAUUCUCAGCACUAUUUUCUUCCUUCUUUUCCUCAGUUUUUUUUGUUAAGAAAUGAAUAUUAUGAUGUUGCUGGGAUGCACUUUCAUUGUUGUUCUAUUAAAUUGUGUUUUAUUUAUAUCCUAAACAAAUAAAUGUAAACAAGAAAAUCAAAUAAGACUUCAAAGAGUCUUUUCCUUCAAAAAAAAAAAAAAUGGGGAAAAAGAAAAACAUUUUUGUUUAGAUUCAACUCCACCAAAACUUGCAACAACUUCCCAUUGAAAAAUUCCUUUUAAGCUCUGAAUGACAUAAAACUAGAUAUGUUCCAGCUAGAAUGGUACAAGAAAGAAAUCAACAGAUGAGAACAAUGGGUUAUUAUGACAGCUUCAGAAACCUGGGGUGUAAAAGAGACAUUAAAAUGGAACCGAUGGGAAGACAUGGUAAAACACGUAGAGAGGAAGCCUCACCAGGAAGGGGCAGCUUUGCAAACCCUCUGGCUCUGUACAGGAACGAAUUAUAGAAAGAUUGUUGAACCACUUGACAUUGCUGCCUACCACAGAGAGGGUGGAAGACACUACAUAACCAAUGGAGGAUCUAAACAUUACACGCUAUUGGAGCAAUGAUGCAAUGAAGAGGAGAAGGGGGCUUUGUCUUCUCAUGCAAAUUGCUCUCAGAGCUCAGAACCUACUCCUGAAGGGAAAGAAUCAUCAUGGAGUGAUCUGGUUAAGUUUGAGGAUUUAUUUAUAUAAUUGAACUGAUUGGAAGCUAUGCAGUGUCGGCCCCCACCCGAGCAGCUUCAUGAAACGGUGGAAAGAGUUGGAAGAAGUCAUAGAUACUUGCUAUAGGAGCUUCAUGAAGUAUGGAGAGGUAUGGCAUAGAUACUUGCAGUGUCUGAAUUUCCCAAAUCCAAUUUCAGAUUGUGUACUUAGAUUCGUGGAACUUGUUUUCUUGCUUUUUGUUAGGUACAAUUGAGAUGGGCUGAACCGCAAGGCCCGCCAGGAUGAACAAUAUAAUGGGCCUGAAUUUUAAACCAGUGGAUGGGCUUUGGACUGGAUUCAGCUGUCUGAGCCCAAUGAGUAUUGAAUGUGUUUCUGUAUAAAAUUAAAUUUUUAACAUUGAAAUAUAAGGACUUACUUAAAAACACAUUUGGUAACUUUUUUUUUUUGGUUAAUAAUAGAUUGUUUAAAAAAAAAUUAAAAAAAUAUUAUUUUUUAGAAUAAAUUUGAGGCAUGUUUAGGUAUUUUUCGUGGUAAAGAGUUUAGAAGCAAUGAGAAUAUAUAUAGAAUACUUUAAAACUUUUGCAUAAUACUUACUUACAUGAUGCUUUCAUAAAAAAUAAAUCAAUAAAAACAAUUUUCAUAGUUGAAUUUCAAAACAUAAAACAACUCAGAAUUGUUUUUAAGAAUUGUUCUUAGAAAUAGUUUUCUAUUAAGUCACAUUCAAGGAAUCGUUUUCAUAUAUGCAAGUAAUGGAAUGAAUGUGAUGAAAAAUAAAAAAUAAAAAGUAAGGGGAAAGAUAUUGUAAAUAAAGUGUUUUUAUCGUGGUUCAAUGACCUAUCCACUUCCACACCUUGAUGUAUUUCACAAUUUUAAAAGUUUUCUUAAUCAUGAUUCUCCUUAUUAUUCUUUAUGUCGAGAUUUUUUAAGUUUUAAUAGACUUUUUCAAUCACUAAGGUGGUGUUUGCUUUUUCACUUAAUUUUAAAUAUAACUUAAAACUAAAUAAUACUUAAUAGUAUCAACUAUUAAGUUGUUUGUUUCUAUAACAGUUUAUUUCUAUAUAAUAUUAAAAAGUAAAGAAAAAUCAACAUGCUAUUUUUGUCAUUUAAAAAAAGUCAAAUAUUUUGAAUUUUUUUAUUUAGCUAAAAAUUUAUAAUAAAUCCUAAAAAGAUAAAUAAUAAUAAUAAUAAAUAAAUAAAUAAAUAAAAACAAAUAAACAACUUAAAGUCUAAAAACAAAUUGUUGUCAACAAAAAAUUAAAAAAACAAGCACUUUCUAAAUAAGAUUCCUUAACCACUCGUACAAUAGCUCCUUUAAGCACAAGAUGUAAUGAAUGAAUACAACUUUGGUGAAAUAACUAAAGUGCUCACAAUGAGAAAAUAAACAAGUUUGGAUUCAAUAUAAUUUUUGGCUAUCUAAUUAAAAGGGUAAUUGAAAACCCAAUUUUGGAAAUAUAACCCUUCAUCAUUUUUUUUACCUCAUUUUAAUAAAAAUACUCUUAUUAUUUUCUUAUAAAAAUAAUCAUUUCUUUUAAAACAUACUAUAAAUACUUCAAAUAAUCAAGAGCAUUUAUGUAAAAAAUGAAUUACUCUUCAAAUAAAAAUAUUGGAGGGAAUAAAUUCACAAAUAUAUGGGGUAUUUCAUCCCUUCUAACUAAUUAUUUCUAUAAUUUAAAGAGUUUAAGAAGGCAAGACAACUAAAUAAAUGAAGUUUUCAAGUUAUUGUCUCUAUCAUAAAUAAAGUCCAAUAAUCACAUUUGUAUCGUUUUGUACAAAGACUAAUUAUUAGGCAUAUUUUGUAAAAACACUAAUUAUUAGACACAUUUUUCGCUCAAUCAAACAAUCACACAGUUGACUAGAAACUAGUUGUUGGACAUUUUUUUUUAUAAUCAUUGGAAGACAAGAAUACAAUCGACUACUUUAAUCAAUUAAGCAAUCAUACAGUCGACUAUAAACUAGUCAUUGGACAUUUUUUUUAAAAUCAUUGGAAGACAGGAAUACAAUCGAUCACUUUGGUCAAUUAAUCAAUUAUUCAAGAAAUUUAGAAAAAUAUUGGAUAAACGACAUAUAGUGGAUUAUUUCAAAUUGAAACUUAAGAUCGGAAAUCUUGCUUUUAAAUCAUGUAAAACACAAGUUUUUAUCUUUGAAGUAAUCAAUCUCAUUUUUAACAAAAAAAAUCAUUAAUAAUAUAUGAAUGAAUUCUUUUAAAAAAUGUGAUUAUUUUUCAUUCCCAAAUACUUAUGUUCUAAAGGUCAAUUUUAAAGCAUACUUGUCCCUACUAUGCCUUAUAAGAGAAUAUAUUCUAUACAUGUGAUAUUGUAAAAAAGUUUAAAAAAUAAAUAAAUAAAUAAAUAAAACCUCUUUUGUUUUCCUCUUUUGACUAUAUAUCAUCAUUAUCAUACUUAAAAUUAAAUAUUCAAUCAAAAUAUUAUUUUAUUAUCAUCAAAAUUUAAAUUUAACCAAACUUUAGGCUAGUACGUUGAUAUGACAAGUUAAUUUUCUAUCUUAAAGUUUUAAAAACUUUGAAAUUAAACAUUUUCUUACACAUUUAUUUUUAAAGUUUUUAGCAUAAAAUUUAAAAUAAAAAAAUACAUUAUUUUCAAAUUCAUUUUGAAAAUUUUUAUUUUAAAAAUAAAAAAUUUAAUAAAAAAAAAUGCAGGCCAGUUUUUUUUCCCUCUUUUUACCCUACAGUUUAAUUAAUUUGAGGUUAGAGGAAAGCUAUGAAAGAAAGAAAAUAAAAAUAAAAAAGAAAAUGAAAGAAUGAAAAAUAUAGCAAAAAAAUUUAAAAGAAAAAAUCUACAAGCUAAUAUUUUUUUCUUAUUUGAGAUGAUAUUUUAUAUUUAGCUUUACUACAAGCUAAAGUCACCAAAACCAUGAUCACAAAAGGGUAAUAUUGAUAUAAUGAAAGAUUAUGAAAAAAAAAAAGUUCUAUAACAAGCAAUAUUUGCUUGACUUUCAUUUAAAAAAAUUUAAAAUCAAAAUACUUUUAGUAAAAUUAUCUAAACAUGUCAAACCUAAACGAAGUGAGUGUUUCAUAUUAAGUUAUUUUUUAAGCCAAAAAACUUAUUUUAAUAGAAUUAAUCACAUAGAUAAAAAGUUGCUAUCGUGGUGGGAAAAAGGUUUUCUUUCAUUUAUUAAAUGCUAAUAAAUUUUGAAUUAUUGAAUUCAUAAAUCUUUUAAUAAAGGUCUCAUUACGUUACAUCUAAGGUUUUAUUGUGUUGGCAUCUUAUGUCUGGUGUUAUUAUUUAUUUUAUAUCCAUUUUAUUGUUUUAUAGUUUAAUCUCAUUUGAUUGUACUAUCAUUAAAUAAUCUAAAUUUGAUUACUAUGAGAUUUUAAAGUUAGAUAUGAUGUCAAUCAUGGUAUAGAUUUUGAAAGAUAUUAUCAAAUCAAAUAUUUAGGGUAUUUGAUAAAUCAAUUUAAUAACUUAAAAUGAUUUAAUAAUUUAUUUAUAUUAAUUUAAAGUUUUCAAAUAAAUUUUUUUAUAAAUAUAAUUUUAGAUUUAAGUAAAGAUAAGUUAAUUUUAAAUUUUAAAUUAAAAUAAUUAACUCAUUCUUAGUUAAAUCUAAAACUAUAUUUAAAAUAAAUAAAAACAGAGAUGGAUAUAAAUUAAGUCAAUAACUCACUUUAAAUCAUUGACUUGAUUUACCAAACACUUCAAAAUCUCACAUUUACAAGACCUGAAGUGGAUCCUUUUCAAUGAAUAUUGUCAUAUUUGUUGGAGUGUACCCAAAAUCCAAAUAUUUCAGUCUUUUUUCUCUUUAUUUCAUUUUAAAAUAAAAUAAUAAUCAUUAUACCAUGAACUUUCAAAAGUACCAUCAUUAUGUCAGUGGAGAUGGGAAGCUGAAAGCCUGAAACAAAUCAAUGGUGAAAGACACCAGUUUUCCAACAACAAAAAAGGCCAAAUCUGAUUCCAACUCAUCCAGUCUAUCUGUGCACUUUGACAACUGAAACACUUUAUUCCAAUUCACAUUUCACUAGAAAUUCCAUUCCAUAUCUACUCAAUAUUCACUGAAAAGGGUUUACAAUGAAAUAACAACUNNNNNNNNNNNNNNNNNNNNNNNNNNNNNNNNNNNNNNNNNNNNNNNNNNNNNNNNNNNNNNNNNNNNNNNNNNNNNNNNNNNNNNNNNNNNNNNNNNNNGAAAUUCAAAGAGCAACACUACUAACAUCUCAGAAUCCUCUGUGCAAUCACUACCAAAACUUUUCCUUACACAUGAAUGAAGAAAUGAGGCUGUACAUAUAUAAUCUGCGGAUGACAACAUGCAAGAAUGCAAAUGGGGGAAAUGGGGAAACAAAUAUUCUAGACAGGGUCUUAUUGGAAAGAAUCUAGGAUUGGGGCUUGAAGAAAAAUGGAAGAAUGGCAUCAUAAGACUGCAGUCUGAGUGGGAGAAGAAUUCAGGCGGGAGAGACAGGUUGAAGAUGAGUUCAGUAAUGAGCUCUCAAGGCUUGGGCAUGGUUCAGGGAACACCCAUUGGGAGAACCCAGAGACAUUUGAGCAAACCCAAGAGAUGGAGGCAGGAGGAGUAGUUGAUAGGGAGAUGUUGGAUAGACAAAUGGAAGUGAACGGGGAUUCUUGAAUACCAGUGAAGCUUCCAGCAAUGGUUAUGUUUGUGCCGAUCACAUUCUGCAAGGUGAUGUGAUCCAAGACAGGGAGUGCAUUGGGGUCAAAAUGGUCAUCUGGGUGGGAGCCGAUUUGGCCUGUUGCACUGAAGGCUGUGUGGAUGUUUUCCAUUGCGACAUCUGAUAUGAUGAUUUCUUGGAUAUAACCACCUCUUCCCUUGGUAGUUCUGAACUCGAUGCCACUGAAUGAGUUGUAUAGGUGGACCUGCUCCACACAGACGUUAGAAAUGCCACCAGACAUCUCACUACCGAAGGCCAGGGAAGAGCCAGAUGAUGAUUGAAGGUUGACCCGUCUGAUGUGUACAUUUGUGGUGGGUCUACCAUAGGCAAUGCCAUAUUCAUCCCAGCCACUCUUGAGUGCAAUGGCAUCAUGGCCCAUGGCAAUGCUGCAAUCCUCUAUGCAGGUGCUAUCUGAAGAAUCUGAAAUCAAAACAUUAUACAAAGUUGACUUAGCAAAAUUCUUUUCAUGACUGAACCCUUCCUGAACAUAGAAAAAAGUAAAAUUAUAAUCUACAUGAACCACUAAACAAACCACAGGUAACAACCUGUUUCCUCUUUCAACAAAUAUCCCUAUCAAUAUACUUAAACAUUCAUAUAUACAUUAAAAACUAAUAUAGAUUUUCAGAAAUAUCUUACCAAUCGGAAGAGGGUUCAAACAAUAAACAAAGACAAAACAAUUCUAGCACUGAUAAUUAAAGAUCCAAAAGUUUAUCAAAUUUAGUAAAAAGAAACAGACCAAAACCUACAAAAUUAUUGUUAAACAAGUGAAAAACAAAACAUUAAAUUAUCUAUUAUCACUCUUGGAGACUGACGGUAUGAAAAUAAGUUCAAAUGCCUCAGAUUCCUUCACCUCCAUUCUUAAUUCCUAGCCUCUUCAACAACCAAGUUUCAAGUACCUUAAUUCGUCCAUCUCCAGAACUGAUAGCAAAGAAGUCCAAAGAAGGGGUAAAGGUUGUUAAUAAAUCUCGGAUAUUCGAUGGGCCCAUGGUCCUGUAUCAAAAGAAUAAAUUAAAUGUCAAAGUCCUUACAAUUCAUAAUUUACAAAUUAGAAAUGAAAUUGUAGAUAUACGAGAGGUGUUCCAAGACGUUAUUAAGGGAGAUUGACUGUAACUGCCUAUUGAUAAAGAAACAAAACAACUUACCAUGACGAAAAUAAUAUAGCUCAAAAUCACAGUAGGAAGUGCCAAAAAAAGGUGGCAAUCCUCUGAAACAUAUGAUGAAGAAGAUAUAAAAAAAUAUAUAAGAAAGACACAGCAUUAAAAAUUUUAAAGCUCGCCAAUAUGUUGCCAAUCCAGUAAAUCAUUUCAUUAACUAAACUGAUUCAGCACUUAAGCUCUAAUAACCUUUGUUUGGUAGCCGAGAAAAUGGAAGAGAAGGAGGAAAAAAAUGCAAUAUCAUGCUAUCUGUUACUGAAUCAAGCCAAACAAUUCAGUUAAACUUGGCUGAACAGCAGUUUUAGCUUUCUUAGCCUGAAUAACGAAAAUUCAAGAUUUUAUCUAUUUUACUUUCCUGCAUUUUCUCAGCUUCCCGGUUUGUCUACGGACAAACUAGAGGAAAAUAAAAUAAAAAAUAAAAAGAAAACUAAAACCAGGUAUUUUCAGUUGUUCUCCAUAAAAAGCAAACGAAAAAUCAACAGAACUAAAUCCUGAGCAAUUACCGAUCCGGCUCAGGCUGAAUUUCCGGUUCUCUUAGAAAAUAUUAUAUAGCAGUUCCAAUAAGGGACCGUCGUGCAUCAUUAUACUAAUUUUCCUCCGUUUUUCGGCAACCAAACAGAGGAUAAACUUGUUUUGAGGAGAAGAUGCACGCUUACCUGUUUUGGCGACCGGCGGCGGCGAGAUGCAAAGAAAAAGAGAGAACGAGAGAGGGGUUUUACCUGUUUUGGCGACCGGCAGCGGCUAGAAGCAAAGAAAAAGAGAGAACGAGAGUGGGGUUUUAGGAACGCAGCCGCGUAGCUGCUCAUUUCGCAAGGGCCCCUUUUUUAUUUCUUUUUCUUUUUUUUCAAUUUUAGGAUUUUUCAUUUUAGCCUCCAUAUUUGAGUGUAUUUAGAUUUGUGGAACCUGUUUUGGGGCUUUUUGUUAGGUACAAUUGAGAUGGGCUGAACCGAAAAGCCCGCCAGGAUGAACAACAUUAAUGGGCCUGAAUUUUAAACCUAUGAAUGGGCUUUAUACUGGAUUCAGCUGUCUGAGCCCAAUGAGUAUUGAAUGUGUUUCUGUAUAAAAUUAAACUUUUAACAUUGAAAUAUGAGGACUUACUUAAAAACACAUUUGGUAACUUUUUUUUUUGGUUAAUAAUGGACUUUAAGAAAAAAUUAAAAAUAUAUUAUUUUUUAGAAUAAAUUUGAGGCAUGUUUAGGUAUUUUUUGUGGUAAAGAGUUUUGAGAAGCAAUAGAAAAUAUAUAGAAUACUUUAAAAACUUUUGCAUAAGAUACUUACUUACACGAGGCUUUCAUGAAAAAUAAAUCGAUAAAAACAAUUUUCAUAUUUGAAUUGCGAAACAUAAAACAACUCAAAACUGUUUUUAAGCAUUGUUCUUAAAAAUAGUUUUCUAUUAAGUCACAAUCAAGGAAGCUUUUAUCUUUUAUUUUUCUAUGUUUCAUCCUUGCAUAAAGGGAGUAUAAAGACUAAAGUUAAUCUAAUUAACAAAUUUGGAUAAUCAUCCAAUAAAUGAGUAAAUUAGGUGAUGAUCUCUUUAUAUAUGCAAGUAAUGGAAUGAAUGUGAUGAAAAAUAGAAAAAAGUAAGGGGAGAAAUGUUGUAAAUAAAGUGUUUUUAUUGUGGUUCAAUGACCAAUCCACUUCCACACCUUGACAUAUUUCACAAUUUUAAAAGUUUUCUUAAUCAUGAUUCUCCUUAUUAUUUUUUAAGUCCGGAUUUCUUAAGUUUCAAUAGACUUUUACAAUCACUAAGAUGGUGUUUAUUUUUUCACUUAAUUCUAAAUAUAAGUUAAAACUAAAUAAUAUUUAAUAAUAUCAAGUAUUAGGUUGUUUUUUUUUAUAACAUUUUAUUUUUAUAUAAUAUUAAAAAGUAAAGAAAAAUCAAUAUGUUAUUUUUUUCAUUUAAAAAAAGACAAAUAUUUUGCCUUUUUUUUAAGCUAAAAAUUUAUAAUAAAAAAAAAAAAGCAAACAAUUUAAAGUGUAAAACAGAUUGUUUUCAACAAAAAUUUAAAAAAACAAACACUUUCUAAAUAAGAUUCCUUAGCCACUUGUACAAUGGCUUCUUUAAGCACAAAAUGUAAUAAAUGAAUACAACUCUGGUGAAAUGACUAAAGUGCUCACAAUGAGAAGAUAAACAAGUUUGGAUUCAAUAUAAUUUUGGGUUAUCUAAUUAAAAUGGUCAUUGAAAACCCAAUUUUGGAAAUAUAACCCUUCGUCAUUUUUUUACCUCAUUUUAACAAAAAAAAGCUCUUAUUAUUUUCCUAUAAAAAUAAUCAUUCCUUUUAAAACACACUAUAAAUACUUCAAAUAGCCCAAGGUUUUUAUGUAAAAAAAAAUGAAUUACUCUUCAAAUAAAAAUAUUGGAGGGAAUAAAUUCACAAAUAUGGGUAUUUCAUCUCUUUUAACUAAUUAUUUCUAUAAUUUUAAGAGUUUAAGAAGGCUAGACAAAGACUAAUUAUUGGACUUUUUUUUUUAUAAUCAAUGGAAGACAGGAAUACAAUCGACUACUUUGAUCAAUUAAGCAAUUAUACAGUUGACAAUAAACUAGUCGUUAGACAUUUUUUUUUAUAAUAAUUGGAAGACAUGAAUACAAUCGAUUACUUUGGUCAAUUAAUCAAUUAUUUAAGAAAUUUAAAAAAAUAUUGGAUAAAAGAUAUAUAUAUAUAUAACGAAUUAUUUCAAAUUGAAACUUAAGAUCAGAAAUCGUGCUUUUAAUGUUGAAAAAUCAUGUAAAACACAAGUUUUUAUCUUUGAAGUAAUCAAUUCAUUUUUCACAAAAAAUCAUUAAUAAUACAUUAAUGAAUUCUUUUAAAAAAUCUUAUAAAAAAUGUGAUUAUUUUUCAUUCCCAAAUACUUAGGUUCUAAAGGUCAAUUUUAAAGCAUACUUAUCCUUACUAUGCCUUACAAGAAAAUCUAUUCUAUACAUAUGAUUUUGUAAAAAAGUGUAAAUAAAAAAAAUAAAAAAUAAAAAAUAAAAAAUAAAAAAAACCUCUCUUGUUUUCCUCUUUUGAUUGGAUAUCAUUAUUAUACUUAAAAUUAAAUAUUUAAUCAAAAUAUUAUUUUACUAUCAUCAAAAUUUAGAUUUAACCAAACUUUAGGCUAGUAUGUUGAUAUGACAAGUUAAUUUUCUAUCUUAAAGUUUUAAAAACUUUUGAAAUUAAACAUUUUCUUACACAUUUAUUUUUAAAGUUUUUAGCAUAAAAUUUAAAAUUAAAGCUUUUAAGGAAAAACCUCAUAAUACAAUAUACUAGAAAGACAUGGUCAAACAGAUAGAGAGGAAGCCUCGAAAGGAAGGGGCAAUGGUUGAACCACUUGACAUUGUUGCCUACUACUAAGAUGGUGUAAGAAACAACAUAACCAAUGGAACAUAUGCACAUUAAACAUUGUAUAAUUAUUAUAAAUGUCUUAUACAUUAUAUGUGAAAAUACGAAAAAAAAAAUAAAAUAAAAUUAUAUUCAACAUUUAUAUUUGUAUACAAACAAUAUUUUCAAUACUUUGAUAUAAAAAACAAAUUAAAAAAAUGAAGAAAAACAUAUAAAUAUAUUUACAAUGGACAAACUUAUUCAAUUAGUAUAAAUAUCUUGUAUAUUUAAUACAAAUACCUUAUACUUUGUGAAAAUGUAAAAAUAUAGUAUUUGAUAUUGAUACAUGUGGGUAAGUAAUUUUUCUAAUGGUUUGAUUUAAAAAACAAAUAAUGAGAAUCAAGAAAAACAUGCAAAUAAAUUAGUGUGAAUGAUAAAGGGUGUUUUUUACCAUAAAUUUUUAUGGACUUAGCAUCAAUUAUGCAUCUAUAGAUGUUAACCCAAUUAGCAUAAUGUGAAAACCCUUACACACAAUAUAUAAACCCUAUACUUGAAUUAGGAAGGACAAAAAAAAAAAUAGUUAGAGCAUUUGGUACCAUCAAUGAUGACUUCACCUAAAGAAAAGUUAAUGAACAUUAUGUUCUCAAUGGAAGAGCAACCCUAGUAGGACAUAUGGAGUAAAUUGAUGCUCUUCUUUCGACAACGAAGUAGCUAAGUCAUGAAAAUGGGGUUUUGCUAACAACAUUAAAUGCAAGAAUUCCCCAAUAUACUGCAAUUCAUAUUCAAUUCAUAGACUUUCAACUAACUACUCUCAAUAACGAGCAAACCCAAGUCAAUACAUAAGAUUGAUUAUUACUUAUGAUAAUUGAAACCCUAAUUAAUAAAUAAGGACACAAAUAUAUGUAUAUAUAUAUAUAUAUAUAUAUAUAUAUAUAUAAAAUAGAGACAAUUGUGUUUUGGACCCAGGUGGAUCAAAAAUUAAGGUUUGGUUCAUAAAACUUACAUAAUUGAUGGAAAUGAUAUAAGUUAUCAAAAUACCAAAAUACUCAUUGAUCUUUCACGUAAGCUUUUUUUGUCUUUAUUGCACCACUAUUCAUGCAACCAUAAUAAUUCUAUUUUAACUAUUUGGAUUUUUCAUUAUUUUUUAAAACUUUUUUUUUAUAAAUAAUUGAAAAUCAACAUUAUUUUCUAUUUUAAAUUAUAAAUAAAGAAAAAUUACGUUCAAAAACUAUUUUAAAAAAUAAUUUCUAAAAAAAUGGUAAUAUGAUUUAUAUUUUUUAUAUUUUCUUUUAGAAAAAAAUAUUUAAUUAAAAAAUGAAAAAUAUUUUUCAAAAUAAAAAUUGAAAACCUUGUUUAGUACUAUUUUUUUAUAUGAAAAUAAUAAAAAUAAUUAAUUUAUUAUCCAUUCAAUUUUAUAUGAAAAUUUUUUAUAAGAGUAAAAAGAUUCAAUAUCUUUAAUAAAAGAAAAAAAAAACAAAACAAAAAGUUAGAAAUAAGUAAUACUUAAUUAGGAAUAGAAAAAGGGAAAAAUUUUGAAAUUUACACUCACUAUAUGCCUAUGUAGGGAUUAAAGGUAUUUUAUGAAUUAAUGAAGGAUAAUAUUUUUUAACUUAAUUUUUACAAUUUAUUUGGGUCUUGGGCUUAAAUGUGAAUGAUAUAUGGAUCUUUAGUCAAUUUUUGGGCCCAUCCGGGCCCAAAACACAAUUCUCCCUAAAAAACUAUUUAUUAAAAUCAAUAAACUAAUAAAAACCAUUUAGAGAGUUUCAUAACUUAGUGUCGAAGCUAUUGUAAGAAAUAAGUAUUAUAUAAUGUAGAGUUUAGGUUUAAAGUCUACCUAAGAUUAAAUUUAAGUCUUAAGACAAAUUCACAUUCAAAACUAGGUUUUUAAGUUAGAAAAAUAGAUCUCUUAAACCAAUUAAAUGGUAAAAAAAAUUACAAAGAAAAUUUCUCUUGCUGGUUUCUUCAUCUUGAAAACUAACGGAAACAUAUAUCAAUAUUUGGUAUGAAAAUUCGUAACCUUAGAAACACAGCUUUGGGUCUUGCUGAGAAAAACAAAGCUUAUUUGCUCGUAGACCAUCCUGGUGGUCAUCAUACCGUGUGAGAACCGGGGAAGCAUCUUUUCUCGUAGACCGGCUUUUGUAGUCUUUCUUUAACAAUUACAAGUUGUCAGGAUUCCCUUCAUCCUCCUAUAUAAUAUUGUUUUUGGUCUUGUUCUGGUUGUAUCUCCGUGGAAGAAAGGAAGAUGAAUCAAGUUCCUUUGUAAGUAUCAAUGUCUCUGAUUCAUUUUUUGGUUCCUAGAAUCGAAUCCUCGCUUUGUUCUUGCUUAAUUUCUCCUUUUUCUGUUGGGUCUUUCACUGCAGGUUUAGCUCUGCACGGGAACUGGCAAAUUUGGUGCUGAGCUCCAAUCUAAUCGACUGUGCUUUGACCAAAAUUCUUGAACUUAACAGAGACCAAACAGCCUUGCCUGUUCAAUACAGACUUUUUCAACUGUCUUCCAAGUGCACAAUUGUAGCUUUUGUCUCUUCACCUGACUGCACUCAAUACCCUCUUCCUGGACAAGGAGAUUUAGAUCGGUCUCCUCUCUUUGACUUCCUCCGUACCGAAGAAUACCCGUCCGUCUCCAUUAACAGAGCAGCAUUAACCCUCUAUACCCCUCUCCAUGAUCAUCUCUCUGGACUAACAGAUGAGGUCAAAAUCUGAUACUUGUUUGAAUUUUCGUUUCCUUUUCGUUAACAAUUGUGAGACACGAAACAGCUUGACCAUGAGAUCUCCCUCAUGGAGUCGAACUACCUGAAGGAUAAGACGUCACACAUAUCCAUUUUCAUGGCAUCGUCACAUGACCCAUUGAUCGGUUGUGAUUCAACUCUUAACAGGAAUACAGUAGAACUGGUGUUGGUAUCUGUCUUUAGAUAAGCUUGCAUAUAUCUUGUCACUGAAAAAGGAAUGUUCAGAAGUGAGAUUAGUGGCAUUAUUCUGACAUGGAUUUCAUAUGGUUACUUGUUUUGCAGUUGACUCAGAUUGAAGGUCAGUUAAUCAUCACUGGGUACUCCCUGGGAGGAUCCGUUGCUUCUCUCUUCACCUUACGCCUGCUAGAUGGCAAUUUAUUAAAGCCCAAAUGCCGCCCCUUUUGUAUCACCUUUGGUUCACCCCUCAUAGGCGACUUUGGCCUCCAACACUCCAUAUGGAAUUCUUUCUUCCUGCAUGUAGUGUCUAACCAAGACCCAGUCCCCGGACUCUUCCUCCCAUCCGGCAGAUCUCCGCCCACAUCCUCCCAUUCACAAACUACCGGUUACAAGCCCUUCGGGACAUAUCUCUUGUGCUCUGAACUUGGUUGUGCUUGUUUUGACAACCCUGAUUUAAUUUUGGGAUUGCUUAAAGUCAUAUCAUCAGAGGUUGCCGGAGGAUUGCAGGAUGUUGAUUAUGGGGAGAUUUUAAGAAACCUCAAGGAGAGGGCAAUCUGCAAGGGACUGCCGCAGGUGGGUGAACGGUUUGCAGAUCCAUUUUCAGCUGGGAUCGUCAUGGAACUUGAGACAAUUGGAUUUAAUCAAACAAAGGUAAACAGCUUUCUCCCAUCUAAUGAUGUUAUGAAACAUGGUUUACACUUCACCAAAUACUGCAAUAACUGCCCUAUUCAGAUUUAUCUUCUUGUUCUUUGGGAUCUUCCAUAACUCGUCUCAUUUUUAAAAUUCAUGGCAGCUGCUGCAGCAUAACAUUGAUAUCAACGCUAUGAUAAGAACAAUGGAAGCUGAAACCAGAAGCCUAAUCCAGAAAAAUAAAGCUUCCGAUGCCAAGAAACUGAAUGACAUAAAAAGAGACAUGGCCCAUCUAGAAUGGUAUAAGAAGAAAUCGGAAAUGGGUUACUACGAUUGCUUCAAAAAUCAGGGGUCUAAAAGGGACAUCAACGUUGAACAGUUUAGGGGAAACCUCACAAUGUACUGGGAAGACAUGGUUGCACAAGUACAGAGGAAGCCCCAGAAGGAAGGAGCAACAUUUCGAACCCGUUGGCUCUAUGCAGGGACAGUUUAUAGGAGAAUGGUUGAACCACUGGACAUUGCUGCCUUCUACAGAGAGGG